CAAAAAAGCCGGAGCCAGAGGAUCCAGCAUGGGCCAGGCGGGGUCUGGCUAACCUACUAGGAGCCACUGAUCGGGCAAGUGGGAAGUCAGACUGCCAGGCUCCAAGCAGCACAUAAGAGCUGUGGGAAAGUGGAAUUCCAACUAAUAAAUAUAGAAGAAAUGAUGGACUUAUAAAACACCAUUUGGCAAAUUCCAUAAUAAGAAUUGUUUCAGGAGAUGCAACAGCAGAGGCUCCCAGCCCUCAUUGCACAUCAAACUAAUACUGGUGCCCAGGCACCACUUCACACCAGUUAAG